UUCGGGGACAAUCUCUUGUGUUCAGGAGAACCCUAGAAUCACCUGUGAUGUCACCAGUGUUGUGGUGACACCAGCAGCCUAUGGAGAAUCCCUUUAGAGCCUAUUAGUUUUGCAAGCAGGCAUGUUGUUCAGGCUGCUUAGGCUAUUUUGAAGUGAGAAUGGAAAACAAGGAGAGGCCAUAUCAAGACAGAAGAAGGCUGACCUUCUAUCAUGCUGUAGAACAACAAGAAAGAAAUGGUCCUGGGGAAGGUCCAGAUCUACUGGAAGGCAUCAUCCCAACCCUCCACCAUCUCUAAGGAGGAGGAGAGGUUGAAGAGGUUGGAGAAUCUGACAAUCUCCAGAAGAUGACAAAUGGGAGGGAUGAACUCUGGGGAAUCCUGGCCCAUUACACUAACAAGGAUUUGAACAACAACAGGACUUCAGUGCAUCAUGCUACAGCUUCCUGCUUCUACUGCUAUGCCUGCCUCAUGCAGCCAUGCCUCCCUCCCAGGAAGACCUCUUAUGCUUCUGGAAGUAAAAGCUCCAAAACAAUCUUCUAUAAGCUCUGCUGGUCAAGAUCUCAACUUCUCCCCUAAGAAGCAGUAUGUAAGCUAAGUGCCACCAUGAUGGGCACCACAGCACGAGGUAGAGCCUGGACUGCCACCGUGAGAGAUGGGCACCACCGCACAAGUUACAGCCUGGACUUCAGGAGAGAACCCCGCAGGACUCAUAGGGUUGGUCGAAUCACUAAUGUAUUUGCACCAGCCGACCUGGGAUGACUGCCAACAGCUUCUGUAGACCUUAUUCACCACAGAGGAGAGAGAAAGGAUUUUCCUCGAGGCUCAGAAAAACAUCCGAGAUGAGGUUGGGCAGCCUGUCCAACCUCCAGCCAAGAUAGUUGAAGGAUUCCCGCUAACCCAACCCCGAUGGGAUUACAAUACAGCACAAGGUAGGGAACGACUGUCCAAUUAUCACCGGGCCCUAGAGGUGGGUAUCAGAGGUGCUACUUGGCGGCCCAUGAAUCUGGCCAAGGUAGGAGAGGUUAUGCAGUGAGCAACUGAGCACCCCUCAGUCUUCCUCGAAAGGCUCAUGGAGGCUUACAGAAGAUAUAUCCUAUUUGAUCCCACAUCAGAGGGUCAAAGGGCCUGUGAUUAUGGCCUUCAUUGGCCAGUCGGUUCCCCACAUUAGAAAGAAGUUACAGCGAAUUGAGGGCUUGCAGGAUUAUACCAUAAGGGAUGUAGUUAGAGCAGCAGAGAAAGUGUAUCAUAAGAGAGAAACAGAAGAUGAAAACUUAGAGAGAGAAAAGAAAGAGAGAAAAGAGGAUGAGGAUAGGAGAGACAGGAGACAGGAAAAGGUUUUGACUAGGAUACUGGCCACAGUAAGAGAAAGAGAUAAAGGGAGAAGAGGUAGACAGUUAGGGAACCUGGGAGACAGAAGAUACCAGGGACCAAGGAGACCCAGAGAAGGCAGACAGCACCUGGAGAGGAAGCAAUGCGCAUAUUGCAAGGAAAUGGGCCACUGGAUGAGUGACUGUCUGAAAAAGAAGCAAGAGGUGAAGGUGCUUUCUCUUGGAGAAGAUGAAGACUCGGAGAAACAGGGCUCGGCCCCCCUCCCCAAGCCUAGGGUAACUUUAGAAGUUGAGGGGACCCCUGUGGACUUUCUAGUCGACACUGGGGCAGAAUUUUCAGUACUCAAGACACCACUAGGAAAAGUGAAGAAAAACGAAAAAACCUUGGUGAUCGGGACCAUGGGACAAAAAUCGUAUCCAUGGACCACAUCCUGAAUAGUAGACAUAGGGCAAAAACAAGUAACUCAUUCGUUUCUAGUCAUUCCAAAGUGUCCUAUGCCCUUAUUGGGGAGAGACUUACUAACCAAGUUAAAAGCACAAAUAACUUUUACCUCUCAUCGACCAGAGGUAUCCUGGGGAAUGAAAGCACCCCAGACUCUAGAGCUAACUUUACAACUAGGAAAAGAAUAUCGACUCUACCAAAGUAAAGUGAAGCCCCCUGAGGGAUUAAAGGACUGGUUGAAUAGAUACCCUAAGGUGUGGGCAGAGACAGGAGGAAUGGGCAUGGCAAAACAGGUUCCUCCUGUGGUGAUUGAACUUAAGUCCGGGGCCACCCCUAUAGGGGUCUGACAAUAUCCCAUGAGCAAAGAAGCUCAAGAGGGUAUACGCCCCCAAAUCAACAAACUGCUCCAACAAGGGAUUUUGGUCCCAUGCAAAUCCCCUUGGAACACUCCUCUACUUCCUGUAAAAAAAAAAAAAACUAGGGACCUGUGACCUGUGAUCCAGUUCAGGAUCUUAGAGAAGUCAACAAGAGGGUUCAAGACAUACACCCCAUGGUGCCAAAUCCUUAUAACCUCCUCAGCACCUUGUCACCUGGUUGGACGUGGUACACAGUCCUAGAUCUCAAAGACGCUUUCUUCUGUUUGAGGUUACAUCCCAACAGCCAGCCUUUGUUCGCUUUUGAAUGGCGAGAUUCUGAGAGUGGACAAGCUGGACAGCUCACAUGGACGAGGUUGCCUCAGGGAUUCAAGAACUCGCCCACCUUGUUUGAUGAAGCCCUACACCGAGACCUUGCCCCCUUCCGAGCCAGUAACCCACAGGUGACUCUUCUGCAGUAUGUAGAUGACCUCCUACUAGCUGCAGAAACAUGUGAGGACUGUGAAACUGGGACUCAAAACCUCCUGGUCGAGCUAUGUUAGCUGGGGUAUCGGGUCUCUGCUAAAAAGGCUCAGUUAUGCCGGACAGAAGUGACCUACUUAGGAUAUGUUCUGAGAGAUGGACAACAGUGGCUCACAGAAGCCAGAAAACAAGCCGUUAUGCAGAUCCUGGCCCCAACCACUGCUAGCCAGGUAAGAGAGUUCCUGGGGACUGCUAGGUUUUAUAGACUCUGGAUUCCCAAAUUUGCCACUCUGGCAGCCCCAUUGUACCCAUUAACCAAAGAAAAAGGAGAGUUCAUCUGGACCAGAGAACAUCAGCUAGUCUUUCAAACUCUCAAAAAGGCGCUACUGCAGCCUCCAGCAUUGGCCCUGCCAGAUGUGAGCAAGCCUUUUACUGUAUACAUUGAUGAAAGAAAUGGGGUGGCAAGGGGAGUCCUUACCCAUGUUUUGGGGCCAUGGAAGCACCCAGUAGCCUACUUAUCAAAGAAGCUGGACCCUGUGGCCAGCGGAUGGCCCUCCUGCCUGCAAGUGAUAGCAGCCACGGCUGUGCUAGUAAGAGAUGCUUACAAACUGACUAUGGGCCAGAAUGUUACCAUAAUGGCCCCGCACUCUCUUGAGAGCAUUGUCAGGUAACCACUGGACCGCUGGAUGACUAACGCCAGAAUGACGCACUACCAGAGCCUAUUGCUGACAGAGCAAGUAAGUUUUGCACCCCCAGCCAAUCUCAACCCUGCUACUUUACUACCUGGGGUUGACGAGGCCCCUGCACAUAAGUGUGAGGAAAUACUGGCAGAAGAGACUGGAAUCUGGCCAGACUUCACAGACCAACAUUGGCCAGGGGAGAUGACCUGGUUCACUGAUGGAAGCAGCUUCAUGGUAGAAGGUAAGCGGAGGGCUGGGGCAGCAUUAGUGGAUUAGUGGAAAGUCUGUCAUAUGGGCCAGCAGCCUGCCGGAGGGUACAUCAGCUCAAAAAGCAGAACUUAUCUCACUAAUUCAAGCCUUAAGGCUGGCAGAAGGAAGGACUCUUAAUGUCUAUACCGUCAGCCGGUAUGCUUUUGCCACGGCCCAUGUUCACAAAGCAAUAUACCAACACCAUGGACUGCUAACGUCUGCCGGCAAGGAUAUCAAAAAUAAAGAAGAAAUUCUCAGCUUAUUAGAAGCUGUCCAUCUGUUCCAUAGAGAGGCAAUUAUCCAUUGCCCAGGACACCAGAAGGGAACGGGGCCCGCUGAAAAGGGAAACCAAAUGGCAGACCAAGAAGCCAAAAAAGCAGCCCAAGGGCCAAUGACUCUGGUGGCAAGAACCCAACAGCCCGCCAACGAGGAAAUAACUAAAAGAACCCUCACAGAUGAAGAGGGGCGAGAUUACUUAGAUAACAUACACCAUCUGACUCAUUUAGGAACUAAAAAAUUAAUAAAAUUGGUUAGUAAGUCCCCCUAUUACAUUCCUGGAUUAAAAA